UACGUAGGGGGCAAGCGUUGUCCGGAUUUAUUGGGCGUAAAGAGCGUGUAGGCGGUUUGGUAGGUCCGUUGUGAAAACUCGAGGCUCAACCUCGAGACGUCGGUGGAAACCGUUUGGCUAGAGUCCGGAAGAGGAGAGUGGAAUUCCCGGUGUAGCGGUGAAAUGCGCAGAUAUCGGGAAGAACACCCGUGGCGAAGGCGGCUCUCUGGGACGGUACUGGACACUGAGGCGCGACAGCGUGGGGAG
rnacentral:rRNA from 1 species